rnacentral:rRNA from 1 species
AUUGAACGCUGGCGGCAGGCCUAACACAUGCAAGUCGAGCGAGCGGCGGACGGGUGAGUAAUGUAUGGGGAUCUGCCCGAUAGAGGGGGAUAACUACUGGAAACGGUAGCUAAUACCGCGUACCAUAGGAUGAGCCCAAGUGGGAUUAGGUAGUUGGUGAGGUAAAGGCUCACCAAGCCGACGAUCUCUAGCUGGUCUGAGAGGAUGACGCGCAACACUGGAACUGCGACACGGCCCAGACUCCAACGGGAGGCAGCAGUGGGGAAUAUUGCGCAAUGGGGGCAGGCCUGACGCAGCCAUGCCGCGUGAAUGAAGAAGGCCUUCGGGUUGUAAAGUUCUUUCGGUUGCGAGGCGUUACCUGCAGAAGAAGCACCGGCUAACUCCGUGCCAGCCGCCGCGGUAAUAC